AAGCUUGUGAGGACAGUUUCUGUACGGAGUGGCAACAAGGCAACACUCCCAGCGACUAGCCGAG
rnacentral:ncRNA from 1 species